rnacentral:rRNA from 1 species
AGAGUUUGAUCCUGGCUCAGGAUGAACGCUGGCGGCGUGCUUAACACAUGCAAGUCGAACGAACCUUCGGGUUAGUGGCGGACGGGUGAGUAACGCGUGAGAAUCUGCCCUCAGGAGGGGGAUAACGGCUGGAAACGGCCGCUAAUACCCCAUAUGCCGAGAGGUGAAAUGAGUUUUCGCCUGAGGAUGAGCUCGCGUCAGAUUAGCUAGUUGGUGAGGUAAGAGCUUACCAAGGCAUCGAUCAGUAGCUGGUCUGAGAGGAUGAUCAGCCACACUGGGACUGAGACACGGCCCAGACUCCUACGGGAGGCAGCAGUGGGGAAUUUUCCGCAAUGGGCGAAAGCCUGACGGGGCAACGCCGCGUGAGGGACGAAGGCCUCUGGGCUGUAAACCUCUUUUCUCAAGGAAGAAGACCUGACGGUACUUGAGGAAUAAGCCACGGCUAAUUCCGUGCCAGCAGCCGCGGUAAUACGGGAGUGGCAAUCGUUAUCCGGAAUUAUUGGGCGUAAAGCGUCCGCAGGCGGCCUUGUAAGUCUGCUGUCAAAGAGUGGAGCUCAACUCCAUAGAGGCAGUGGAAACUAUAAGGCUUGAGUGUGGUAGGGGCAGAGGGAAUUCCCGGUGUAGCGGUGAAAUGCGUAGAUAUCGGGAAGAACACCAGUGGCGAAGGCGCUCUGCUGGGCCAUAACUGACGCUCAUGGACGAAAGCCAGGGGAGCGAAAGGGAUUAGAUACCCCUGUAGUCCUGGCCGUAAACGAUGAACACUAGGUGUCGGGGGAAUCGACCCCCUCGGUGUCGUAGCCAACGCGUUAAGUGUUCCGCCUGGGGAGUACGCACGCAAGUGUGAAACUCAAAGGAAUUGACGGGGGCCCGCACAAGCGGUGGAGUAUGUGGUUUAAUUCGAUGCAACGCGAAGAACCUUACCAGGGUUUGACAUCCUGCGAACCCCUGAGAGAUCGGGGGGUGCCUUCGGGAGCGCAGAGACAGGUGGUGCAUGGCUGUCGUCAGCUCGUGUCGUGAGAUGUUGGGUUAAGUCCCGCAACGAGCGCAACCCACGUCUUUAGUUGCCAGCAUUCAGUUGGGCACUCUAGAGAGACCGCCGGUGAUAAACCGGAGGAAGGUGUGGAUGACGUCAAGUCAUCAUGCCCCUUACAUCCUGGGCUACACACGUACUACAAUGCUACGGACAGAGGGCAGCAAACUCGCGAGAGCUAGCAAAUCCCAUAAACCGUGGCUCAGUUCAGAUCGUAGGCUGCAACUCGCCUACGUGAAGGAGGAAUCGCUAGUAAUCGCAGGUCAGCAUACUGCGGUGAAUACGUUCCCGGGCCUUGUACACACCGCCCGUCACACCAUGGAAGUUGGCCACGCCCGAAGCCGUUACUCCAACCCUUGUGGAGGAGGACGUCGAAGGUGGGGCUGAUGACUGGGGU